rnacentral:lncRNA from 1 species
UGGGAGGUGUUUUUUUAAUCCCCAUUCUUAAACUAUUGCUAGAAUCCAAUAUCUCUUCUUUACAGUUUUGGACAUGCAGGUCCAGAAAGGGGAGAGGCUUGUCUAAAGUCCUGAAGCAAGUCAGUGCAAAGCCUAGGACUGUAACCACACUGCACUCACCCCUUCCUCCAGCCCCCACCCAGCUCUUUCUUCUCUGCAUUUAUUCAACAAUAUUUAUUCAGCACCUGAUUUGUGGCAGACUAUGCUAGGCACCAGGGAGCCAAAAAUGAAGACCAAGGAUUCUUACUCUCAGGAGCUGACAUCUGGGGGAGGGUGGUGGUUAUGCAGGGAGGGACACAUUAAACAGAUUUUUCCUAAGUGUUAAGAGAAGCCAUUGAAGAACCUCAGUGAGAAAGUGGUAUAAAGCUCCUGUUGAUUGAAGAACUUGAGUGAGAAAGUGGUAAUAACUCGGCAAGCUGCUCAUAUGUGUCUGGCCUCUCCACUUGCUCUUAGCUCCUGAGGGCAAAGCCUGGGCCUCAUCCUCUUGUGGAUCCAGGAGAGCAGUCGCUGAAGAGAAAGAGGAAGAAAAGGAGUGGCUAGAAAAGAAAGUUUAUUUCCACUGCAGGAAGCACUGCCUCCCAUCUGAGAAAUGUCCCAAGCAGGAAUCAGUGCUGCGAUGAACUUAUGAGUGAAUGCAUCAAAAAGACCAAGUUGAACUUAUGAGCGAAUGCAUCAAAAAGACCAAGACUUGAUCCCUUGCCCACAAAGAUACAAGGCUGAGGACAAAGCCAUGAAGGAAAAGCCUCACUGAAGAAGAGGAACCUAAGAGAAGCAGGUUCUGCUCUGAUGAACUCCCAUAAAGGCAUUCCCAUAAAGGUGUGGGCCUGAGUGAUAAUCUAGAUAUGGUACAGUUGACAUCAGGUAUAUGGCGGCAGCCAGAAAUUCAACUUUGUCCAUCAGCUCUCUGCACAACAGGAAAGAUGGUGACCUUCCAGGCUUAUCUGAGGUCCAAGAGUAACAUCACAAACACAGUAACUACACCCAGCCAAAGAAAAGCAUACCUGAAUCCAAGAGAGUAUUUACACUGGCUUCAGGGAUGAGGAAAUAAAGGAGUAAGUGAUUAGGAUCAUUGUUUUCCUUUCUCUUUGGUACAAAAUAAAUGAGCUUCCUUUCUUUCAUUAAAAAUAAAUGUUUAGGCCGGGCGCGGUGGCUCACGCCUGUAAUCCCAGCACUUUGGGAAGCCGAGGCGGACG